GAUGAACGCUGGCGGUGUGCUUUAUGCAUGCAAGUCGAACGGUAUUAAUAGAUCAAGCUUGCUUGAUUUUUUAAGAGAGUGGCGGACGGGUGAGUAACGCGUAAGUAAUCUGCCCUCAAGUAGGGGAUAACCCUGAGAAAUUGGGGCUAAUACCUUAUGUGGUGGUGGGGAUGAUGCUCCAUCACUAAAGCCGCAAGGCGCUUGGGGAGGAACUUGCGUCUGAUUAGCUUGUUGGUAGGGUAACGGCUUACCAAGGCGAUGAUCGGUAGCUGGUCUGAGAGGAUGGUCAGCCACACUGGGACUGAGAUACGGCCCAGACACCUACGGGAGGCAGCAGCAAGGAAUAUUGGGCAAUGGGCGAAAGCCUGACCCAGCGACACCGCGUGGGGGAUGAAGGCCUUCGGGUUGUAAACUCCUUUUCUCGGGGAAGAAAAAAAUGACGGUACCUGAGGAAUAAGUCUCGGCUAACUACGUGCCAGCAGCCGCGGUAAUACGUAGGAGGCGAGCGUUAUCCGGAUUUACUGGGCGUAAAGGGGGCGUAGGCGGCUUUUCAAGUUGGAUGUGAAAUCUCCCUGCUUAACGGGGAGGGGUCAUUCAAUACUGUUAAGCUUGAGGGCAGCAGAGGAAGGUGGAAUUCCCGGAGUAGUGGUGAAAUGCGUAGAUAUCGGGAGGAACACCAGUGGCGAAGGCGGCCUUCUGGGCUGUUCCUGACGCUGAGGCCCGAAAGCGCGGGGAGCGAACAGGAUUAGAUACCCUGGUAGUCCGCGCAGUAAACGAUGGACACUGGGUAUAGGGAGUAUCGACCCUCUCUGUGCCGUAGCUAGCGCGUUAAGUGUCCCGCCUGGGGAGUACGGCCGCAAGGCUAAAACUCAAAGGAAUUGACGG
rnacentral:rRNA from 1 species